rnacentral:rRNA from 1 species
CCUACGGGUGGCAGCAGUGAGGAAUAUUGGUCAAUGGCCGGAAGGCUGAACCAGCCAAGCCGCGUGAGGGAGGAAGGCGCAGAGCGUCGCAGACCUCUUUUGCCGGGGGACAAAAGGCCGGACUCGUCCGGUCCUGAGGGUACCCGGAGAAAAAGCAUCGGCGAACUCCGUGCCAGCAGCCGCGGUAAUACGGAGGAUGCGAGCGUUAUCCGGAUUCAUUGGGUUUAAAGGGUGCGCAGGGGGGCCUUUAAGCCGGCGGGGAAAUCGCGGGGCUCAACCCCGCCGAGGCGUCGGAACUGGGGGGCUGGAGUGCGGGAGAGGCAUGCGGAAUGCGCGGUGUAGCGGUGAAAUGCAUAGAUAUCGCGCAGAACCCCGAUUGCGAAGGCAGCGGGCCGUGCCGCCACUGACGCUGAGGCACGAAAGCGCGGGGAUCGAACAGGAUUAGAUACCCUUGUAGUC